rnacentral:ncRNA from 1 species
CAGAAUGCGUCGAUAAGGAUUAGUACAUAUAGCGUACUGUGCAGAGAGCCGGUGGAUGGUGUGAACCGGUCAGUGUGUAUAUGGAAUCCACCUUGGAGUAGAAGUAUAAAAUCUUCUCGGUAGGCAGCCGUUAUUGCUAAAGUGGCUUUAAGUAGCAGGAAAAACACCUGCUACUUUGCAACAAGGGUGGUAACGCGGGUGCUCUCGUCCCUUCU